GACGAACGCUGGCGGCGUGCUUAACACAUGCCAGUCGAACGGAAAGGCCCUGCUUUUGUGGGGUGCUCGAGUGGCGAACGGGUGAGUAACACGUGAGUAACCUGCCCUUGACUUUGUGAUAACUUCAGGAAGCUGGGGCUAAUACCGGAUAGGAGCUCCUGCUGCAUGGUGGUGGUUGGAAAGUUUCGGCGGUUGGGGAUGGACUCGCGGCUUAUCAGCUUGUUGGUGGGGUAGUGGCUUACCAAGGCUUUGACGGGUAGCCGGCCUGAGAGGGUGACCGGCCACAUUGGGACUGAGAUACGGCCCAGACUCCUACGGGAGGCAGCAGUGGGGAAUAUUGCACAAUGGGCGGAAGCCUGAUGCAGCAACGCCGCGUGCGGGAUGACGGCCUUCGGGUUGUAAACCGCUUUCGCCUGUGACGAAGCGUGAGUGACGGUAAUGGGUAAAGAAGCACCGGCUAACUACGUG
rnacentral:rRNA from 1 species